rnacentral:rRNA from 1 species
GGGUUGUGAGGUUAAGCGACUAAGCGUACACGGUGGAUGCCCUGGCAGUCAGAGGCGAUGAAGGACGUGCUAAUCUGCGAUAAGCGUCGGUGAGGUGAUAUGAACCGUUAUAACCGGCGAUUUCCGAAUGGGGAAACCCAGUGUGUUUCGACACACUAUCAUUAACUGAAUCCAUAGGUUAAUGAGGCGAACCGGGGGAACUGAAACAUCUAAGUACCCCGAGGAAAAGAAAUCAACCGAGAUUCCCCCAGUAGCGGCGAGCGAACGGGGAGGAGCCCAGAGCCUGAAUCAGUGUGUGUGUUAGUGGAAGCGUCUGGAAAGGCGCGCGAUACAGGGUGACAGCCCCGUACACAAAAAUGCACAUACUGUGAGCUCGAUGAGUAGGGCGGGACACGUGGUAUCCUGUCUGAAUAUGGGGGGACCAUCCUCCAAGGCUAAAUACUCCUGACUGACCGAUAGUGAACCAGUACCGUGAGGGAAAGGCGAAAAGAACCCCGGCGAGGGGAGUGAAAAAGAACCUGAAACCGUGUACGUACAAGCAGUGGGAGCCUCUUAAUGGGGUGACUGCGUACCUUUUGUAUAAUGGGUCAGCGACUUAUAUUCUGUAGCAAGGUUAACCGAAUAGGGGAGCCGAAGGGAAACCGAGUCUUAACUGGGCGUUAAGUUGCAGGGUAUAGACCCGAAACCCGGUGAUCUAGCCAUGGGCAGGUUGAAGGUUGGGUAACACUAACUGGAGGACCGAACCGACUAAUGUUGAAAAAUUAGCGGAUGACUUGUGGCUGGGGGUGAAAGGCCAAUCAAACCGGGAGAUAGCUGGUUCUCCCCGAAAGCUAUUUAGGUAGCGCCUCGUGAAUUCAUCUCCGGGGGUAGAGCACUGUUUCGGCAAGGGGGUCAUCCCGACUUACCAACCCGAUGCAAACUGCGAAUACCGGAGAAUGUUAUCACGGGAGACACACGGCGGGUGCUAACGUCCGUCGUGAAGAGGGAAACAACCCAGACCGCCAGCUAAGGUCCCAAAGUCAUGGUUAAGUGGGAAACGAUGUGGGAAGGCCCAGACAGCCAGGAUGUUGGCUUAGAAGCAGCCAUCAUUUAAAGAAAGCGUAAUAGCUCACUGGUCGAGUCGGCCUGCGCGGAAGAUGUAACGGGGCUAAACCAUGCACCGAAGCUGCGGCAGCGACACUAUGUGUUGUUGGGUAGGGGAGCGUUCUGUAAGCCUGUGAAGGUGUACUGUGAGGUAUGCUGGAGGUAUCAGAAGUGCGAAUGCUGACAUAAGUAACGAUAAAGCGGGUGAAAAGCCCGCUCGCCGGAAGACCAAGGGUUCCUGUCCAACGUUAAUCGGGGCAGGGUGAGUCGACCCCUAAGGCGAGGCCGAAAGGCGUAGUCGAUGGGAAACAGGUUAAUAUUCCUGUACUUGGUGUUACUGCGAAGGGGGGACGGAGAAGGCUAUGUUGGCCGGGCGACGGUUGUCCCGGUUUAAGCGUGUAGGCUGGUUUUCCAGGCAAAUCCGGAAAAUCAAGGCUGAGGCGUGAUGACGAGGCACUACGGUGCUGAAGCGACAAAUGCCCUGCUUCCAGGAAAAGCCUCUAAGCAUCAGGUAACAUCAAAUCGUACCCCAAACCGACACAGGUGGUCAGGUAGAGAAUACCAAGGCGCUUGAGAGAACUCGGGUGAAGGAACUAGGCAAAAUGGUGCCGUAACUUCGGGAGAAGGCACGCUGAUAUGUAGGUGAAGCGACUUGCUCGUGGAGCUGAAAUCAGUCGAAGAUACCAGCUGGCUGCAACUGUUUAUUAAAAACACAGCACUGUGCAAACACGAAAGUGGACGUAUACGGUGUGACGCCUGCCCGGUGCCGGAAGGUUAAUUGAUGGGGUUAGCGGUAACGCGAAGCUCUUGAUCGAAGCCCCGGUAAACGGCGGCCGUAACUAUAACGGUCCUAAGGUAGCGAAAUUCCUUGUCGGGUAAGUUCCGACCUGCACGAAUGGCGUAAUGAUGGCCAGGCUGUCUCCACCCGAGACUCAGUGAAAUUGAACUCGCUGUGAAGAUGCAGUGUACCCGCGGCAAGACGGAAAGACCCCGUGAACCUUUACUAUAGCUUGACACUGAACAUUAAGCCUUGAUGUGUAGGAUAGGUGGGAGGCUUUGAAGUGUGGACGCCAGUCUGCAUGGAGCCGACCUUGAAAUACCACCCUUUAAUGUUUGAUGUUCUAACGUGGGCCCCUUACCGGGGUUGCGGACAGUGUCUGGUGGGUAGUUUGACUGGGGCGGUCUCCUCCUAAAGAGUAACGGAGGAGCACGAAGGUUGGCUAAUCCUGGUCGGACAUCAGGAGGUUAGUGCAAUGGCAUAAGCCAGCUUGACUGCGAGCGUGACGGCGCGAGCAGGUGCGAAAGCAGGUCAUAGUGAUCCGGUGGUUCUGAAUGGAAGGGCCAUCGCUCAACGGAUAAAAGGUACUCCGGGGAUAACAGGCUGAUACCGCCCAAGAGUUCAUAUCGACGGCGGUGUUUGGCACCUCGAUGUCGGCUCAUCACAUCCUGGGGCUGAAGUAGGUCCCAAGGGUAUGGCUGUUCGCCAUUUAAAGUGGUACGCGAGCUGGGUUUAGAACGUCGUGAGACAGUUCGGUCCCUAUCUGCCGUGGGCGCUGGAGAACUGAGGGGGGCUGCUCCUAGUACGAGAGGACCGGAGUGGACGCAUCACUGGUGUUCGGGUUGUCAUGCCAAUGGCACUGCCCGGUAGCUAAAUGCGGAAGAGAUAAGUGCUGAAAGCAUCUAAGCACGAAACUUGCCCCGAGAUGAGUUCUCCCUGACUCCUUGAGAGUCCUGAAGGAACGUUGAAGACGACGACGUUGAUAGGCCGGGUGUGUAAGCGCAGCGAUGCGUUGAGCUAACCGGUACUAAUGAACCGUGAGGCUUAACCUUACAACGCCGAAG